rnacentral:rRNA from 1 species
GACAGGGGCCUCAAGCGUUAGGCGGAAUCACUGGGCUUAAAGCGUGUGUAGGCGGAUCGUUAAGUGUCUUGUGAAAUCCCACGGCUCACCCGUGGAACUGCUGGGCAUACUGGCGAUCUUGGGCCAACUAGGGGCAACUGGAACAAGCGGUGGAGCGGUGAAAUGCGUAGAUAUCGCUUGGAACGCCGAAGGUGAAAACAGGUUGCUGGGGUUGUGCCGACGCUGAGACACGAAAGCCAGGGGAGCAAACGGG